CCAGAGAAUUGAUCUGGUCAGGACGAACGCUGGCGGCGUGCUUAACACAUGCAAGUCGAACGAGACUUAGGGAAGAGCUUGCUCGGAACUAAGUCGAGUGGCGGACGGGUGAGUAACGCGUGAAUAAUCUGUCUCAUACAGGGGGAUAACGCAUCGAAAGAUGUGCUAAUACCGCGUAGGACCACAGUGUCGCAUGGCACGAGGGGUGAAAGGAGCAAUCCAGUAUGAGGUGAGUUCGCGUCUGAUUAGAUAGUUGGUGAGGUAACGGCCCACCAAGUCAACGAUCAGUAGCCGACCUGAGAGGGUGAUCGGCCACAUUGGGACUGAGACACGGCCCAGACUCCUACGGGAGGCAGCAGUGGGGAAUAUUGGGCAAUGGGCGAAAGCCUGAACCCCAGCAACGCCGCGUGAAGGAAGAAGGUUUUCGGAUCGUAAACUUCUGUCCUAUAUGAAGAGCAGUAGACGGUAGUAUAGGAGGAAGCCCCGGCUAACUACGUGCCAGCAGCUGC
rnacentral:rRNA from 1 species